rnacentral:lncRNA from 1 species
GAGGACUUUGAAAUACACGAUACGAGGUCAAAUGUGCCUUCAGAGUUGCAGUUUCUGAGACUUGGGGAGCGAACGCGGUCCAAAUGAUGACCGUGACACUGUCAGACCAGAUCGAGUCCGCCGCCAAACUCCGCUUCUGGUUUUCCAAACGACACCUGCUCACCGACAAAUUCAAUUAAGGACUCCUCUUCCCACUUGGAGCCGGUCUCCAGGGCAGAUCUUCCGGGCGACUCACUCUCAGAGAAAUUAAAAAUUUUGCUCAAAUUAACCAGAAAAACUGAAAAAAAAAAAAUGUGCUAACUUUAGUAAUGAACGCUCUGCUCCGUCCACCGCAAACACCCGCGUCUCUUUACUUGGAAGCGACGGGGAAGUAGCGCAGAUCAUUCAUGGAAAGCCAUCUUCCAUAUUAAAAAUGCCACUGACGCUACAAGACGAGAAAUCAGAUCCGUGUCACGUGAGCGUCGGCCAGAGGUGACAACUCAAACGAGGGUCAUCCCCAGCGCAGAUAAUUCAGCGGGAAGGUGAGUCCGAUCUGUGUCUUUUGCUCGAUUCAUUUAUAUGCAAUAAAAAAGAGUAAUUGUCGGCUGAGGGAAAUGUUGAAUGAAAGACGGUUCCCGACAUUAAAUGGCGCUG